AGCAUAUCAAUAAGCGGAGGAAAAGAAACCAACAGGGAUUGCCCUAGUAACGGCGAGUGAAGCGGCAACAGCUCAAAUUUGAAAUCUGGCGUCUUUGGCGUCCGAGUUGUAAUUUGCAGAGGGCGCUUUGGCAUCGGCAGCGGUCCAAGUUCCUUGGAACAGGACGUCACAGAGGGUGAGAAUCCCGUACGUGAUCGCUAGCCUUUACCGUGUAAAGCCCCUUCGACGAGUCGAGUUGUUUGGGAAUGCAGCUCUAAAUGGGAGGUAAAUUUCUUCUAAAGCUAAAUACUGGCCAGAGACCGAUAGCGCACAAGUAGAGUGAUCGAAAGAUGAAAAGCACUUUGGAAAGAGAGUUAAAAAGCACGUGAAAUUGUUGAAAGGGAAGCGCUUGCAGCCAGACUUGCCUGUAGUUGCUCAUCCGGGUUUCUACCCGGUGCACUCUUCUAUAGGCAGGCCAGCAUCAGUUUGGGCGGUUGGAUAAAGGUCUCUGUCAUGUACCUCUCUUCGGGGAGAACUUAUAGGGGAGACGACAUGCAACCAGCCUGGACUGAGGUCCGCGCAUCUGCUAGGAUGCUGGCGUAAUGGCUGUAAGCGGCCCGUCUUGAAACACGGACCAAGGAGUCUAACAUCUAUGCGAGUGUUUGGGUGUCAAGCCCGAACGCGUAAUGAAAGUGAACGGAGGUGGGAACCUUUCGGGGUGCACCAUCGACCGAUCCUGAUGUCUUCGGAUGGAUUUGAGUAAGAGCAUAGCUGUUGGGACCCGAAAGAUGGUGAACUAUGCUUGAAUAGGGUGAAGCCAGAGGAAACUCUGGUGGAGGCUCGCAGCGGUUCUGACGUGCAAAUCGAUCGUCAAAUUUGGGCAUAGGGGCGAAAGACUAAUCGAACUAUCUAGUAGCUGG
rnacentral:rRNA from 1 species